GUAGGUGGCAAGCGUUGUCCGGGAAUUAUUGGGGCGUAAAGCGCGCGCAGGUGGUUCUUUAAGUCUGAUGUGAAAGCCCCCCCGGGCUCAACCGGGGGAGGGGUCAUUGGAAACUGGGGAACUUGAGUGCAGGAGAGGAAAGUGGAAUUCCACGUGUAGCGGUGAAAUGCGUAGAUAUGUGGAGGAACACCAGUGGCGAAGGCGACUUUCUGGCCUGUAACUGACACUGAGGCGCGAAAGCGUGGGGAGCAGACAGGAUUAGAUACCCUGGUAGUCCACGCCGUAGACGAUGAGUGCUAAGUGUUGGGGGGGUUUCCGCCCCUCAGUGCUGCAGCUAACGCAUUAAGCACUCCGCCUGGGGAGUACGGUCGCAAAGACUG
rnacentral:rRNA from 1 species